UUAAAUCCUAUAUUUUAGAUCAAUCCUAAUAAAAUCAUAAUCAAACUUUAAUAAAACUCUAAUAAAACCUUAGUCAAAUUUUAAUCAAAUUGUAAUCAAAUCUUAGUCAAAUCUUAAUCAAAUCUUAGUUAAAUUCUAAUAAAAUCCUAAAUCCUAGCAAAAUCCUAAAUAAAUCUUGAUCAAAUCUUAGAUCCUGAAUCAAUCCUAAUCAAUCCUUAAUCAAAUCCUAAAUCUUAAAUAAAUUCUAAAUAAAUCUUAUAAUAGAUUAAAAAUUCAAUAAUUAAAAAUUAAUCCAUUGAAUUUGAUUUAAAAUUUAUAUACCUUGAAAAAACUAAGUUAGCAACAAGC
rnacentral:lncRNA from 1 species